UACCACCACUGUUACCGUGACCCAACAUUCAAAGUUAACUCAAGGAGAGAGGAGAGGAGUAAACAAGACCAUAUAAAGGGUACAUUACUUUUGUUUCAAACCAACGUAAGAUUUUAAAAAUACAAGAAGAAGAAAUGAGGACACAAUAAAAGAGAAAUUUCUUGCUAGUGAAUAGUGUAUUUGCUAAAGAACUGGCAUAUAAAUAUUUUCCGAUACGGUGUAUACAACUUUACAUUCUUCACAUUUCAGAUCAAGAUCAUUUUCUUACAUCACUCAACAAUGAGAACUUGAGAUGUGCAAAAAAAUCUUCAAAAAUUUUAAUGAUUUCAGUAAGAAUACACAUGCUAAGAACCUAAAAAAGGAGAAAAAAAAAAAAUUAUUCCCACAACGUGCAGAUAUUGUACCUAUUCAUCUCAGCAGGCAAAAAAAUUGGCUGUACUGUGCAGUAAAUUGCACCAAAACCAAGUACUAAGGAAUCAUCCGGGAAUUGCUUCAACUUGAAGUGUGGAGGUAUUCAAGAAUGAGGUUACUUUUUAGCCUUUGUGCUUAAAGUAUCAAGCUUAAAAAAUAGAGCUGAGAUGCAGAAAUUCACAAGCAUCUCCUGCUUAAGCAAGAGCUCUAUAUCAUGGCACUGAUCUUGUAGUAUUAGCUGCACUUGGGUAAUAAUAGGGUCUAGAUACCUGAAAUUUUGCUAUUAUGAGAGCUUUCUAGCUUUUUCAACUGCUUCAACAUAGUAAUACAACCUCCACAGAGUUGCAUUGUCCUCUUUCUCCAAAUCAACAAAAAUUUCAUCACAGUUCUGUGUUUCUAAUGACUUGCUACGUUGGACAAUUUCAGCCACACGGUUGAGAUUUUUUGGUGGUAACUUCUGAAUCAGUUUUUGAAGCUGCUUCUUCUCCGCAAGGGACAUGGGCCUGCAUGUAGACACCACAACAUCAAGAAGUUCUUCAAGUUGCUUCUCCAUGUGACCAAGCAUUGUGAAUAGUUGAUCAGAAUAUUUCUUGAUUGAUGCCUCAACCAGUGAGCUAUCAUUCUCUAGUAAAAACUGCAAAUCACCAUCCCCCUCUUCGUCCACUUUAUCAGCGGAUGUGUUUGAGGCCAAAUGAAAUUCACUUUCAUUUGUACUAGUAGUUCCACAAGCAUUACAUUGAAACUGAGGGAAAAAAGAGCACCAAAAUGAAUAUAAUUUGUGUGACUACAUGUAUCUGUUUGUUGCAUGAACAAUGAUGAAUGAAAUAUAUAAUUACAAAAGAGUGUUUGCCACCUUUCCUUCUUGGUCAGCUGUACCAUUCGGGUUGUUAGUACUGCAACAAGCACAGUGCUUCUGGACAACAGUGGACAUUCCUUUUCCAGGCAAAGCAACAUCUGAACAUUUAGAACCCAUACAUUUAGAUGCUGAACCCUCUCUACAUGAUCCAGAACUAACAGGACUAGCAGCUGUAUUGAUGUUGGUUGAUGAGGAAGAUGACUUCUUGAUUCUCUUAUUGGCAUUGUUCUGCUCAGUCUCACCUUCAGACAUUACAUCCUUAAGACCUGAAAUUAACUUUCUGUUUCUUACCUUUGAUUGGAGUCGACGCAUGGCUACAACAGGAUCAAGCAUCUCAUCAACUUCUGGUACAAGAGUUGCCAAAGUCUGCCGAAGCAAUGCAUUCAACCUUUCCUUUUUGCAAUCAGAAAGACCGGCUCCUAUGCACUUAUCAAAAAGAGAACCAGAAGAAGGCUCAACAUUAUUGCCCCUGACCUCCUCACAUCUGUUUCCAGCAAUUUCAGCCGCAAAAGGCAGGAAAUCCUCAUUUUGUGAUAGCAAUUCUUUUACUUCACAUGUGUAGAAAGUAAAGUAAUCUGGUCCUAAUUUAUUCAGGUCAGCUGAAGUAAAACCUCCUGAAGUCUCUGACAUUAUAAUCAAAGCAACUGCGCUUUAAUCUUGAGAUUUUAGCUUGAAUAAUUUCUUGACAUGAUACUAGAGUCUCAGACAAAAGAGAAUGAGAUUAAGUCCAGAUACCAAGCAAGUCGCUGAAACUUGGAGAAGAUGGCCGAUGGGAUAGGGGAAACGCCGCAAGCACAGUGAUUUAGGGCACCGAUUCAAAUUCCGCUUUUAACUUUUCAUAUAGGCAAGUUUAUGUGAGAUUGUAUAGGGGUAGCGUGCGCAUCGGUUGGGCCAAAACAGGUUGGAUCCAG
rnacentral:misc_RNA from 1 species